rnacentral:rRNA from 1 species
AUUGAACGCUGGCGGCAUGCCUUACACAUGCAAGUCGAACGGCAGCACGGGUGCUUGCACCUGGUGGCGAGUGGCGAACGGGUGAGUAAUACAUCGGAACGUACCUUAUCGUGGGGGAUAACGCAGCGAAAGCUGUGCUAAUACCGCAUACGCCCUGAGGGGGAAAGCGGGGGAUCGCAAGACCUCGCGCGAUUAGAGCGGCCGAUGCCUGAUUAGCUUGGUGGUGGGGUAAAAGCCCACCAAGGCGACGAUCAGGAGCUGGUCUGCGAGGACGAUCAGCCACACUGGGACUGAGACACGGCCCAGACUCCUACGGGAGGCAGCAGUGGGGAAUUCUGGACAAUGGGGGCAACCCUGAUCCAGCAAUGCCGCGUGAGUGAAGAAGGCCUUCGGGUUGUAAAGCUCUUUUGUCAGGGAAGAAACACCGGCUCUAACACAGUCCGGGAAUGACGGUACCUGAAGAAUAAGCACCGGCUAACUACGUGCCAGCAGCCGCAGUAA